rnacentral:tRNA from 1 species
GUCAGUAGCUCAGUCGGUUAGAGCGGGGGACUCAUAAUCCCUAGGUCCGGGGUUCGAGUCCCUGCU